rnacentral:rRNA from 1 species
UAAAGGCCGAGCGCGACCAUUCCGAGUGAGCGUGCGGACGGGUUAGUACGCGAACGUGCCCUUCUACUACGGAAUAGCCUCUGGAAACGGAGAGUAAUACCGUAUACAGCCCUUUGGGGGAAACAGAUUUAUCGGAGAAUGAUCGGACCGCGUUAGAUUAAGUACUUUGUGGGGUAAACGGACUACCAAGCCUACAAUCUAUAGCUGGUUUCAGAGGAUGAUCCUGGCAUACACUUGGACUGUAGAACUGUACAGAAUACUACAGGAAGCAGCAGUGGGGACUCUUCGACCCUGGGGUGCCAACCCUGAUCUAAGACCCUAUCGAGUGAUUAAUGAAAGCCGUAUAAGGAUCUAAA